UUUCAUAAUGGCGACUCAAAUACAGAUUCCUUAUUCCAAGAUGGUUAUUAAGAAGAUGAACCAUGAAUAAUCCCAUGAAAGAACAUUGGGCCAAAGAGAAUUGUGGACAUCUUAUAAACACCUCGGGACUGGAAUGAGGAUUUCUGAUUUCCAGAUCUCCUUCCUAGCACUAAACAACAUGGCUUCAGGGCCAAAAUUGUGAUGCUCAAAAAAGAACUCAGAAAACUAUGCUUAUGAGGAGUAUGAGGCAGAGAGGGUGUAAUUUAUCCUGAGUAUACAGCUGGAAAGCUGAAUCUGAACACAAACAGUACUCCACAGAACUCUUGCUUUGGAACUCAAGCUACCAAAAGAUAAGGAUCUUGGCUGAUGACACAAAAAGAAAACCAAGUGCAGAGUUGGUGCCUAGUGAGAAAUGGAUGGAAGGUGAUUCUGUAGAAAUUGCAAGUGCAAGCAAGUAAGAGAGUGUAUUCUCUUCUUUUAAGUCUUCAUUAUUCACCACCACCCCCCAUUGCCAGUACAAUGGAACCAUGGCCCUAUCUCCAUCCACCUUGCCAGAAGGAAACUGCAGUGGGAGAAAACCAAGUUAAUGAGGAGUGAGAGAAGACAUUAAGGACCAGCUGAGUCCCAGAGACAAAGCUGAAAAACCAUCCAAGGAGGUUGCCAGACUGCAACAGCCACAUUUCAGCGGGCAUUACUACCAGACGAAUUCACUUUAAGUGGACAAGUGAGACUGCCGAUGAAGGAACUGAUGGCAGCAGCUGAUACUACAAGCUAAAAGUCAAGUAGCACAUAGUGCCGCUACAGAUACUUUCUUCCUGCAAGCAAAGGGAGAUUUGGCUGGCAAAUGUGAGGAGCAGAACUAAAAUGAAGUAGCUUUAGUUCUUGAAAUCGUUUGUGCUCAAGGAUAAGCUCCACAGACAGUGGAAGCAAGGCAGAGAGGCAACUGGAAAGAGAGAGAUGGAUGAGAGCUGCCGGAAAUGAGAGCUUAGCAGAACAGAAUGUGAAAUCCAAGGACGUUUUCCAAGAGAUGCCUGCCUUCUUAUAUGGUCUACUUCUAUUCCAGAGUGGUGAUAUUCCAAUCCAUGUAUAUUUUAGAGAGGAGG